GGUGCCCUCUGCCCCCAGGCCUCGUGUUCAGGCCCCUCUGCGGUGUGCGGAGGGAGACCAAGUGCCACUGACCUCAGACAGCAUGAGACUGGUUCAGGGGAGCAGGCCCAGUGCUUCAUCACGCAGUCCUGACACCGUAAAAAUUAGGUUUCCCGAUGUCAUUAGUGCUUUGUGAUCAGCUCCAUUUGUAUCAUGCCUGCCCUGUUGCCUCAUCUCUGCUAAUUGUUUUACUCACUCCUUCCAUUUUUAAACUGCUGUCUUGUUGGCUUUUAAUUUUUAAUUAUUGCUGCCUCCCCUUCCUUCUUAAUUGGUCCAGGCCCCUACUGAGGUUCCCUGUGCUGUGGCUGCAGCUGGCUCCCUCAGGGUGUCUGUCGCUUGCCCACCACGUGCCCUAGCUGGCCCUGGGUGGUCACAGCCUUACUCUGGAGAUCGGCCUCACACCUGGCUCCUGGUGCAGUGAAGUCAUCUCCAUCUGAGCCCUUUCUCCAAAUAGACAUUGGGCACCAACUGUACGGAGUUAUGGGUACAGUGAUCCUUAGAGGAUGUGAAUGACCCAACCCACCCUAGAAUCACCUUUGUCCUGUUGUGGGCUUUUCUGGGGUUGGCAGGAGUCUGGAGGGGGACAUAACUACCUCCUCUCCCACCUCCCAACCACUUGCCACCCCAGUCCUGCUUUCCUCAUAGCCCUCGGCCUCUGAGGUUUACUGUAAUGGAUACCAGCCUCCUUCCCAACUGCCCAAAGCCCUGAGGUCAUUCUCAGCCUCACCUCUGAGCCUUUGCUCACACAGGAGCUGGACACUCUCAUGCCAUUUGAUCCCCAGCACAACUCUAUGAACUAGGGGCCAUCAGCCGGCACAAAGACAGAAGGGAUAUGCCUAAGCUCCCACCGCGAAUAACAGCAAAGUAAAAUUUGGACCCAGAGCUGUGGCAGCUAUUCUUGGGGUGGGUUAGUGGGUGCUGGUAAGCCUGGGUGCUCCUGAGGGUCAGGAUGGGCAGCACCAGCCUCGGUCAGCAGUUCUAGCCCACCUGUGCACCAGACUCAUGUUCCAGAUAGCGACACCAGAGUCCAGAGAGGGAAAACGCUUGCCAAAGUCACAUGUGAAUCCUGGUCUAGCAGUGACUCCAUCUGCCAAGCUCCUCCUGACAACCAGGGAGCUGAAUCCCCACUCUGCAAGGGGAAGGCUUGCACGGCUGGCUGGUCUGGGGAACACCAUGGCCACAGGUGGCUGAGGUCUUCUCAUGCUCAGUUAUUCUUCCUCCCUGCCCUGGUUUGUUUGCUUCUUCAGUGGGCUGAGGGGGACGGCAGGGCCAGGAUGGAAAGGAACUUUUCUUGAGCAGCUACACCAUGCCAGGCACAAUGCUGGCAACACUUCAUUCCUGAAGCCACUCUGUUCAGGGAACUAUUAUAGUCCGGGUUUUCAGAUGCACAAUCUGAUGCUUAGAGGGAGCAGUGGCCUGCCCAGGGCCUACCCCUAGGAAUCUGAUGCUCCUCGCUCCCCUGCCAGAGCUGCCUCAGUCUAAGAAUUCUCUCUACUCCAGCGCCUCCUGAGGAGAAAGCAGUGUGGGACCCGUAGUUAGAGCCCCUAGAGCAGGGGCCUCAUCCUCCUCCAUGCCAAGCCAGCAACAGACCUGGCUCACAGCAAGUGUUCUGACAUGUCUGGUGACUGAAUGCAAGAAGAAAAGAAUGUCCCAGCCUCACUUGGCCACUACUGAAUGCAGCCCAGGCACUAAAUGGACCCCUCAUCCAGAAGUACCUUGACUUCAAAGAAGGAUCUGGAGGCCCCUUGGAUACAGUUGGACUUAAGAGUGAGACAGACCUGGGGUCUCCUCCUGCUUGCAGAGGUCCCCUUGCCUACCGUCACUGCCAGAUCCACAACCCUGACUCAGCGGCUUAGCCCAGCUCCCUGCACCUCCCAC